CUUAUUAUAUACAAUCCACAUGUCCUUUAUUUGCAUAGUUUUUUCAACCUUCAUAAAAGCUUUGAAGGUAGGAAGUAUUGUUAGUUGUGUUUGGGAGACAAAGGGCCAGAGGCUUUGGGGCGUUAUAGCAGUGAUCCACAGGGCGUACCUGCAUGUCUGUUUCUUGUCCUCAGGUGGGACCAAACCUACAUUCAUCAUCUUCUGCCCUGUUUUACAAAGGAUUUGGGGAACGUUUGGAUCUGAUCUAGAAAAAUACUUUUCUGACCUCUGCAAUCUCCUACAGCUAUUUGUGUGGUAUUUACCUUGCAUCCCAUGAGGAGUGAUGUGGUCAUAGCUGUCAGUGUACAGGACGAUGGGCUUCACAAAUUCUAUGCAAACCCAAGGCCACUUUAUAGAAAGGACUUGAUCUUCUUCAGCUGCUGGUACCCAGUGAGGGCUAUCCAUUCCUAGUGGAGACAGUGGGAUCUUGUAAAUAUUUGUCAAUGAAAUAAAAAAUGAGUAG
rnacentral:lncRNA from 1 species